rnacentral:lncRNA from 7 species
UAGUGAAACCGAAGAAUGGAGGGCUUGUUAAUGCAGUCUGCAUCAACUCUAUGGCUAAUCGCUGCUAGAAUUUUUAUGACUGCUUUGUGGUAAAGAUGGUAUCACUGAGACUUAUUCUAGAUGAAUCAUUCAGAUGAGAGAACAAGAAUGUGAAAUGCUUAUGAGGAAAUCGUGAAGGCAAGAAGAUCUUGACUUCCCCAGUCUUAUGGAAAAUGACAGUAGCGUUCCUUAUGUAUAAAUAUGCACAACAACUUUUGCAGUACACACUAAUUCCAGGAUGCAGUUAAUGUAACUGAGGUUGUGACAUGUCUAGCUCUGGGCAACAGCUUCUUGGAAAGGCUUUCUUCCAUCGUGUUGAACAGUUUUGACAAGCGCAGACUGAGACAGCAGGCAUCUUGCAAGUGAUACUCAAUAGAAAUCUCCCUGACAUGGAAGAAGCACGUCAGAACUGGGCAGAAUAUGGCAAAAUUUCACUUUUUCAGGUGCAUUAGCCUCAGCCAGCAGAGUCCCUGGCACAGGGAUGUGAGCACGAGCUUGGAAAUGUGUACUUCAGGCAGAAGCACAGAGACAGCUUGUCACCCACUGCUGGCUCCUCGUCAUUCUUCUCUGGCAGGAAGCACCCCCUUAAUCAGUGAACUUUUUCCUCUGAAAGGAGCAAAGUGUAUUAAGCUCCUAGCUAGAGUUUACAUGAGGAGACUGCUAGUAAUGCUGCACACCAUGAGGAGUUCAUCUGCAUGCUCUCCUGCUGCGUCAAAUUUUUACUUCAUUCUCAGUAAACAGAUGUUGUCUGGGACAAGUGUGGCUUGAAAGAUGACACAUAGUGCACUGAUGUUCAUCUGGGUUUGAGGAAAAUGCAUGACCAGUUGAAGUCAUUCCCUAUCUGUGGCUGCUGAUGGUAUCGGAUUCCCCUCACACACAGUCUCUGCUGCGUGAGCAGCCAAAGCCAGACUUCUUCAAGGUACAGGCCAGAUCACGGCUGUGUUGGUUAAUUUCCUACCCAGCAUUUAGUUCCC